rnacentral:rRNA from 1 species
UCAGCUUGCUGGAUACACGAGUGGCGCACGGGUGAGUAACGCGUAUGCGAACUACCUUGAACUGUGGAAUAGCGCCGAGAAAUCGGGAUUAUACCCCAUAAUAUCAUUAUCUGCCUGGAUUUUGAAUUAAAGCUUCGGCGGUUCAAGAUGGGCAUGCGUGACAUUAGCUAGUUGGUGAGGUAACGGCUCACCAAGGCUACGAUGUCUAGGGGUCCUGAGAGGGUUACCCCCACACUGGUACUGAGACACGGACCAGACUCCUACGGGAGGCAGCAGUAAGGAAUAUUGGUCAAUGGACGCAAGUCUGAACCAGCCAUGCCGCGUGCAGGAUGACUGCCCUACGGGUUGUAAACUGCUUUUGUAUGGGAAGAAUCUCUCGUACGUGUACGGGAUUGACGGUACCUUACGAAUAAGCAUCGGCUAACUCCGUGCCAGCAGCCGCGGUAAUACGGAGGAUGCAAGCGUUAUCCGGAUACAUUGGGUUUAAAGGGUGCGCAUGCGGAAUGGUAAGUCAGUGGUGAAAUCCCACGGAUCAAACGGGGAACUGCCAUUGAUACUGCUAUUCUAGAGUACACAUGAAGUGGGCGGAAUGUA